rnacentral:lncRNA from 1 species
CAGCCCCAGCAAUGCUAACCAAAUCCCAUCCCAGCCAAAGGGCCAGGAAGAAAAAAUAAAAGACAAAAGCACCACAUGGAAAAGAAAAAUUCAGCAAAUAGCUCUCAAGACCAAAUGCCUAGCAAACAGCUGUGUGCCAGAGCUCCUCCUUACUGUGGAAAAAAAGGAAUAAAUGUUCUGCACCUAUAUGUCUCGUGUGGAUAAAAACAAUGAAGUUGUUGUUUCACGGACUGAUUGUGUCAACAUCCAUGGAGUCCUUACCAUGUGCCAGUAACUGGGCAAAGUGCUGAGGACACAAAAGUAAAAAGGACAGCCUGUGUCCUCCUUCAGAUCUCGUGACCCUGGCAAGCGGGCAGCUGGGUCCCCGCAGGACAGAGGUCUGGGAGAAUUGCUGGUGUUUGCGCACGUGCAAGUGCCUGCAGACUGCAGAGUGCAAAGCCAAGAAGUGGCAGAGGAUGGAGACCAGAGGCAAAGCAAGGAUUCAGAUUAAUGGACAGCCCUGUCGGAGUCAAACAAAGACCCAGCCUGGGAAGCCAACACCAGGAGCUGACAACCGUGCAAAGCACCGGGCCAUGGGGCAGUGUUCCAUUUUGUUUCCUCUGGAUAGCUGGCAAGAUGGAGUCCCUCGGAGGACUUAACCUAGUGCUUUCACGUCAAAGGAGAAAAAAGGAGUCAUUCCCCCAUACAACGUGGAAGACCCAAAGGUUCAGAGGACCCAUCAUCUGUGUAGAGUGGAUGGGCUCUUCUGACUGGGGGGUGUCUCGGCUCCAGAGCUCACCACUGUCCUGUACCUGGGGAAGAAGCAUCCAUGCAUAUAAAUUAGGCUGA